AGAGUUUGAUCCUGGCUCAGAACGAACGCUGGCGGCAGGCCUAAUACAUGCAAGUCGAGCGCGCCCUUCGGGGUGAGCGGCGGACGGGUGAGUAACGCGUGGGAAUAUGCCCUUCUCUAAGGAAUAGCCUCUGGAAAUGGAGAGUAAUACCUUAUACGCCCUUUGGGGGAAAGAUUUAUCGGAGAAGGAUUAGCCCGCGUUAGAUUAGGUAGUUGGUGGGGUAAUGGCCUACCAAGCCUACGAUCUAUAGCUGGUUUGAGAGGAUGAUCAGCCACACUGGGACUGAGACACGGCCCAGACUCCUACGGGAGGCAGCAGUAGGGAAUCUUAGACAAUGGGGGCAACCCUGAUCUAGCCAUGCCGCGUGUGUGAUGAAGGCCCUAGGGUCGUAAAGCACUUUCGCCAGAGAUGAUAAUGACAGUAUCUGGUAAAGAAACCCCGGCUAACUCCGUGCCAGCAGCCGCGGUAA
rnacentral:rRNA from 1 species